rnacentral:lncRNA from 1 species
CACACACACACACACACACACACACGAAUGUCUAGCUUACACACCCUAGCAUUUUCCCACCUGCUGGAAGUCGUACACAUACAUUACUGCAACGAUGGAGAGUGAAUUCUCAAGUUCAUCUCUGUGAGCUGAGAAAAUGUGCAGACAGGAGGCAGCUCCCCGCCACGGCCGCUGGAGCUCAGAGAGCCUUCUUCACCAGCAAAGCCAAACUAAGCUCCCUUCCAGCUUUUCCUCGAGGGCAGUGACUUAUCAAUGAUGAAACUUCCAGGUCCUUAGCCUCCUAUCCUGUCAUGAGAAUCUAUCAUUUCCACACCGUUGACUGGAGCCUAAAUGCUGCUUUGGGUGUAGAAGAAAAAGAAAUAAAGCUGAAAGAAUAUUCACAGCCACCCCCGCAGGCAGUUAUGAAAACUCAGCUGAAAGGAUUGUGUCUGGCUUCCCGGAGAAGAAAGGAGAAAGAGGAAAGACAAAAACAGUCAAGAGCUGACAAAUUCCAGAGUCCCUUCAAACCUUAAUGUUGCAGCCUGGUAGAAAGCUUUAGUGAAGUCUUCUCUUACAAUGGCUACUCUCUUGUGACAUCUUUUUUUCAAGAGGAAGAGCUGAAGAGGAAGUCAGAUGACAUGUUCCUGGCAAGAUCUUGUUACCAUCUCUUCUUGGACAGAGGCAGGAAAUAAUGAGGAAGGUACUUCGUGACACUGCAUGGCUUAGGGUGGCAUGAGCUGGGAAAGUUGCAAGCAGACGCUCCAAGGGUGGUCGGUUGGGUUUGCUUUGAGGGGAAGAUUAGCCCUGAGCUAACUACUGCCAAUCCUCCUCUUUUUUCUGAGGAAGACUGGCCCUGAGCUGACAUCCAUGCCCAUCUUCCUCUACUUUGUACGUGGGAUACCUAUCACAGCAUGGCUUUUUGCCAAGCGGUGCCAUGUCCGCACCCAGGAUCCGAACCAGCGAACCCCAGGCCGCCAAGAAGCAGAACGUGCGAACUUAACUGCUGCAUUACAGGGCCAGACCCUUAAUUCCUG